GUCGGCUAAGUGGCGGACGGGUGAGUAAUGUAUAGUUAAUCUGCCCUUUAGAGAGGAAUAACUACUGGAAACGGUAGCUAAUACCUCACACUCCUUCUUUAUUAAUUAAAGUUGGGAAAUGUUUUUUCGCUAAAGGAUGAGACUAUAUGGUAUCAGGUAGUUGGUGGGGUAAGAGCCUACCAAGCCAAUGACGCCUAGCUGGUCUGAGAGGAUGAUCAGCCACACUGGAACUGAGACACGGUCCAGACUCCUACGGGAGGCAGCAGUGGGGAAUAUUGCACAAUGGAGGAAACUCUGAUGCAGCAACGCCGCGUGGAGGAUGACACAUUUCGGUGCGUAAACUCCUUUUAUAUGGGAAGAUAAUGACGGUCCCAUAUGAAUAAGCACCGGCUAACUCCGUGCCAGCAGCCGCGGUAAUACGGAGGGUGCAAGCGUUCUCGGAUCCUGGGCGUAAGCCGCCAGCGGUAUUAAGUUG
rnacentral:rRNA from 1 species